CCUACGGGAGGCUGCAGUGGGGAAUAUUGGACAAUGGGCGAAAGCCUGAUCCAGCCAUGCCGCGUGUGUGAAGAAGGCCUUCGGGUUGUAAAGCACUUUCAGUGGGGAAGAAAGCCUUGGGGCUAAUACCCUCGAGGAAGGACAUCACCCACAGAAGAAGCACCGGCUAACUCCGUGCCAGCAGCCGCGGUAAUACGGAGGGUGCGAGCGUUAAUCGGAAUUACUGGGCGUAAAGCGCGCGUAGGCGGUCUGAUAAGCCGGUUGUGAAAGCCCCGGGCUCAACCUGGGAACGGCAUCCGGAACUGUCAGGCUAGAGUGCAGGAGAGGAAGGUAGAAUUCCCGGUGUAGCGGUGAAAUGCGUAGAGAUCGGGAGGAAUACCAGUGGCGAAGGCAGCCUUCUGGACUGACACUGACGCUGAGGUGCGAAAGCGUGGGUAGCAAACAGGAUUAGAUACCCGUGUAGUC
rnacentral:rRNA from 1 species